AUCUGUGGUCUUGUUCUAUGGAUCUGAAUCACAGACUACCUCAGAGUAAAUAGUAUUUACUCUGAGCAGAUUACUCACUAUUCAGAAUAUCGCGCACGCCGCUUCCCUUUUUGCGUAUCUGAACCUGCACAUUUUUUAAAUUUUGGUUAUUUACGGUUUCCAGAUAAUUCGUAAUUUAAUGAUUAAAUAGAUGGCUCUCAGUAUAAAAGCAUACCUAUUGUUUUCAUUCUACUAUUUUUAUACAACAAUUACAAUUGCCUACAAUUUUUAUUAAAUGAAUUGUGCAGGACAAUGCCGGUUAAAAUUCCACUUUAAGUGAAGAUUAAAAACUCCUAUAAACCAGAAAACUCAACUUUAUGUUCGGUAACUGUUAAAAAAUGGAACUUAAUAACAGGUAGAGAAAUAAUAAACAACUCCUAUUUAAAAAGGUUUAUUGUGUACAUCACCAAAUAGGACAUGCAUCACGCACUCUACAUGUCCUAAAAAAUCCUAAAUAAUGAGAAAGACAAACAAACAAAACCAUUAAGCAUUUCAAAUAGGGAUGAAAAUGAAGUUCUGUUACAUUCAUAGGACAUACGUUACAUACAGACACGGUUCCCACAGCGAUUCCUUAGUAAAUAAGACAUGAACAGUAUUAAGAUGUUAAUUGCAACCUUAAUGGAACAACAUGGAAUGGUUGUUUAUUUCUUGCUAUGCAUCUGGGUGACAAUUUAUUAUAUGGCCACUUCUACGCGACAGUUGAAUCAGUUUGGUGGCACAGAGCAAAAUAAAUAGCAGCUCAUAAGAUAAACAGUUGCAUUCGCUCUAGAACCACUAUAUUAUAUACCUUUCAGAUUCCAAAUUGUACUAGAAUUUUGAUCCUACUAAAAAUGUUCAAUACACUUCAGGUUCAGACCAACAAUUGUCAACAAUGUGGUGGAUUUUAAGGUUAGGUCAGAGCAGAGACACAAAAUAUCAAGGGUAUGUUCUGUGGUCACAGACAAGUCUUGUCCAUGCCCUGGGCACCAGAGACAAGAGAUAAAUUAUUUCUUGUCUCUGCUGGGCACUCUCACUAAACCUAACCGAGAACGACUGAUUUCAUAGUCGCCAGAGGCGCUACAGACGAUAAAGAGCUACAGAUUAAAUCAUGAAAUAACCCACUGUAGGAAAAUAUUCUGUGGAUGAAUGCGAUAACGUGUUAAAUUUCAAAUAAAUCUUCCCCAUUGUUGUCAUAGAUAAAGACGAGUGAUUGUUGUUUAUGGGUUUGUCAUGGACAAGAUGUCUGUCGAUGUUGAUUAUUCCCUAUCAUCCAAAGAAAAAGCCUAUGCCGAUUUUAUUCAUUUCUGACGAUAUAAUCUGUGAUAAGUUGUAUGAUUUCGUGCCUCAUGCUUCCUGCACUUACUGGAUUGUGAUAUAUUUCCCCAUGUUCUCCAAUACGUAAUUUGUGAAUAUUUUGUUGGAUGGUAACUGUUUAUUGGUGUCUUGAAGGCUGUUAGAAAAUGCACGGCUUCCUAUCACAAAAGGCGUAUGUUUUAAAGUUGUUCCUAAAAAUGCUCCAAAGAUUUUUUUAUCUGUAAACAGUAUUUAUAUAAACAAUAAACAACAAGUAAUACAUAUAUUUAUAUGUAUUUUUGUGUAGUUGUGUCAUUUAUCCCUAUUAUC